CAGUAAUAGUUGUUCGUACUGACGAUUUCUUCUGCUACUUUGAUCCCAUUGCCUUGAUUCUGUGGGGAGGCUGGGCGGGUAUUAUGAAUACAACAGAUCACCUCCAGAUCAUCUGUUCCAGGUGAACAACCUGCUUAUCUGGAUAGUGAUCCGUUACAUUCAUAACAAAUGGGUGAUAAGCCAGCUCCCAGUUUUGGCGGUGGGUCAUCAAGGCAGGACUCUUAAGAACACUACGGCCAAAUUCCGCAUCCUUUGACUGCUGAAUGUCCAGAGCAUAAUGCUUCACAAAUGGAUGACAUGUUGUCCAAAUAGCUGCCUUACAGAUAUCUGGCAUUGGCACCUCUGCCAAAUUCGCAGCCGAUGCCACAUAAGCUCUUGUAGAAUGUGCUCUUAUAGAUCCUGGCAGCCUUAUGCUUUGAAAGCUGUAUGCUAGCCUUAUAGCUUGUAUGAUCCACUGAGAAAAUCGCUGUCGUGUAACCGAUGAGCCUUUAGCUUUUCCCCCCCGAUAAAGCACAAACAAUUUGUUCGUUCUCCUUAUCGAUUUAGUAGCCUGUAUAUAGUGCAACAAUGCUUUCCUCACAUCCAAAGAAUGCAUCUUUACUUCCAACUGUAUUUGAGGGCCCUGGAAGAACGCCGGUAGCACAAUAUCCUCAUUUAUAUGAAAAUCUGUGACCACUUUAGGCCUGAAUUUUGGAUCCAAGUGCAUUACGACCUUCUGUGGGUAAAUUUGGGUAUAAGGGCGGUCAGCACGCAUCACUGCUAACUCGCUUACCCUAUGAGCCGACGUCACUGCAACUAAGAAUGCUGUCUUUAAUGUCACUAUCCUCAACGCAGCCGCCGCCAGAGAUUCAAACGGUUCCUCUGUCAUUGCGUUCAAAACUAACAUCAGGUCCCAUUGUUGCACGGGCCGCCUAACCGGCGGGUACAAAUUAUUUACCCCUUUCAGGAACUUUUUACUCUCGGGAUGCAAAAACACUGUUGUACCAUCCCAGCCCUUAUGCUCUGCCGAUAUCGCCGCUAGGUGCACAUGGAGAGAUGCAUUUGCCAAACCAGACAUUUUCAAGGUCGUCAUAUACAGUAGAACCUGCUUGACUGUCGCUUUCCUUGGGAAGAACCCCUUCUACCUUGCAUAGACCUUGUAUCUCUGCCAUUUACUUGUAUAAUUGCGCCUGGUCGAGCGCUUUCUACUAUUAAGUAGUAUUUUACUCAUCAACCUAUUUGCCAAGCUAUCAACCUCAGCGUGUGAAGUUGAGGGUGUAAUAUCAACCCCCGGUCCCUGCUUAACAAGUCCGGGUAAUCUGGAAAUUGGUGAUACUGGCCGCGGGACAGCUUUAGCAGAAGUGCAAACCAUGGUUGCCUUGGCCACCACGGAGUCACUAGGAUCCCCUUCGUCCCAUCUCGGAGUAUCUGUGACAACACCUGGGAGAUCAGUGGUUGAGGAGAAAACAUAUAGAAAGGGCCCUUUGCCCAGAGAUGCUGGAAAGCAUCGCCCAGUGAGUUCUCGCCAUGUCCUGCACGCGAACAAAACCUCUGACAUUUUCUGUUCACAGCAGUAGCAAACAAGUCUAUCUUUGGCCAGCCCCAUUUCUUGAACACUGGCCGUAGGUAAAUUUCGUUUAUCCCCCCACUCGUGAUGCUGGUUCAGCUGUAAGCUGCGGCUCAGCUCGUCCGCCUGGACAUUGUCUUCUCCCCUGAUAUGCAACGCCAUGGGGAGUAUGUCGUGUGCAAUACACCACAUCCAAAGACGCUUGCUCAGUUGACACAGGGACCGGGACACUGUCCCUCCUUGCUUGUUCAAGUAUGCAAUGGCGGUUGUAUUGUCGAGAUUUAUCUGUACCAUUUCUCCCUGCAGCUGGGGUCUGAAAGCCUUCAACACCAACAACACAGCCUGGAGUUCCAGGUAAUUUAUAUGCUUUCGCCUCUGCUCCGGGGUCCACUGUCCCUGGACCUGAUGAUGGCCACCGAGUGCCCCCCAACCCCAAAGGGAGACGUCCGUCAUAACCCAAUGUGACGGCGUCCUGGGUUGGAAUAUUACCCGUUUGAAGAUUGUUGCGCUGGAUCCACCAUUGAAGUGAUUCCAACACAUAAUCCGGGAUGAGCAACAGCUUCUUCUGGUUGUCUAAAUUUGGAUGAAAACUGCGCAGGUACCAUAACUGAAGGUUGCGCAUGUGUAGACGGGUAUAGGCUACAGUGGAGUUGCAGGAAGCCAUCAACCCCAGCAGCCUCUGAAUGGACUCAGCCGGCUGCCGCGGCAUCCUCUCAAACAAUAGCACAAGGUCUCUGAUCUGCUGGAAUCUGGACUCCGGCAAGUACGCUCUCUUUUCUUCAAAAUUCAGCACCGCACCUAUAAAGUCCACCUGCCUUUGUGGGCUCAAUUUUGAUUUUUUCCAAUUCACAUUGAUUCCCAACGUGCUCAGGAGUUGUAGGACCAGCUGAAUCUGAGAAAGUAACUUUUCUCUGUCGUUGUUCACUAGAAGCCAGUCGUCCAAAAAAGGAUAUAACAUUACACCCCUUGUUCUUAAGAAUGCUACGACGACUGCCAUCACUUUUGUAAACAUGCGUGGGGCCGUAGAGAGAACGAACGGCAAAACCAUGUACUGGUAUGCUAUAUCGCCCACUGUGAAGCGAAGGUACUUUUGGUGCCUUUCGCAGAUCCCCACGUGAAAACAGGCGUCCUUCAGAUCCAGAGUGAUGGCCCACUCUUCGUUCACCAGGAGCUGCAGAAUUCCCUGCAAAGUGAUCAUUCUGAAUUUCUUCGUAUCCACAUAACAGUUUAGAUCUCUUAAGUCCAUUAUCGCCCGUAUCCCACCAUCCUUCUUGGGGAUUUGAAAAUACCUGGAGUAAAACCCCUUCAGUCUGUCCAUCCACGGCACUCGCACUAUUGCCUGUUUCUCUAGUAACACCUCUACCUCCUCUCGCAACACCUGAGUUGACCUGGUGUACUUCACACCCUGAAAAGCUGGCAAAAGCUUUGAACUCUAUCGCGUAACCAAAGUUUAUGAUUUUCAGUACCCACUGAUCUGAUGUUAUGUUGUGCCACGCUUUGGCAUGGCGUGCCAAUUUGAUGGAAACAUUGGCUAACACGAGGCUGGUGUUGGGAGCCUCAGGUACUGAACUUGGUGUUACUAUGUGCUUUUGCUGUGGAUGGACCUGUACUUCAACAAGACUGCUUUGACUGUUCCUUGGUUGCCUUUUGUCCCUUUGACUUUUGGUAAUAGGGCUUAUUCCUUUGGUAAGGUCUGUUCCGUCUCCUGUACUCCUGAGUCCUGAGUUUCUAUCCUGUUUAUAAGAAUAACGGUUUUGUUGCCUUCCAUAGGAACGACUACGGGAUUGCUGACCAGUCGAAGAUGUAGCUGCCAUGAAGGACUUAGCUGUGAACUUCAUCUUCUUCCACGAUUCCAUUGUCCCAUCUGUUGACUCUGCAAAUAGUCCUUUCCCAUCAAAGGGCAAGUGCUCUAUCUUAUCUUUCAUUUCUGGUUGCAAAUUUGUUGACCUGAGCCACGCAUGGCGCCGCAAGGUAAUGGCUGUGGCCAUGGCGCGCAACUCAGUCUCAGCCAGAUGCUUAGAAGUACUAAGCAAAUGCCUAGUAACUACAGGCGUUUUCUCAUAGGUCUGUGCCAGCGCCUUCUGCAAAUAAUCAGAGGACAUUGAGGACGAGUCCUGGAAGAACGUGUCCCAAAGAUGGUGCAUGUAUCGUGUCAUACAGGCAGAAUAAUUCGCUAUUUUGACAGCGAGACUAGAAGUGGAAUACACCCUCCGCCCAAAAACAUUGAGCUUUCUACCCUCUUUGUCGGCGGGGGUAGUGUGACACUGACCACCCUUCGUUGACGCACACUCCACCACUAUGGAGUUUGGAUCUGGAUGCCAUACAAGAUAAGUGUUCUCAUCCUCUUGCACCCAAUAUAAAACUUCCAACUUCCUCGAGGUGGCCGUGGAUGUCCACAGAACCUCCCACGCAGACUGCGCUGCCUUCGAUAUAGCUGGAAUCACUGGAAGGGAUACAGGGGUAAAACAAUACGUAGUCCUUUAAAACAGUCCAAUGUCUAGCACCAAAACGUUAUUCCGAAUCCGUUCCAAGUCGUACACCGUAAUAUCAAGAAAAAGACUUUCGAGGAGCAAUCUGAUCCGAGGUUUAGACGCAAUGGCUGUCUAAAAGAAACUGAGGAAGACACACCCCAACUGCCUUAUUUAACGAAGGCACGAUCACAUGCAGGGCAGUUGGAGGCGGCACAAGGAGCUAGUCAAUUGGUCCGCGAGGUCCCUGCGCAGGUGCAGAACCCAUUCUUUAUGAAUGCAACGGAUCACUAUCCAGAUCUACCAGAUUUACAAGACUGAAUCCUAAGAAAUGCAAGCAGGCAUGAGCUCAUGAAAACAGAGCCUUCCUGCUGCAGGCCCUGAAAACCUGUCCCUAACUAUCAGAAACAGCAUAUAAUGUACUGUUAAGGGCUGAAGUUGGAGAAAUGAAGCAUUCUCUGGAAAUCAGGAAACAAGUCUUGCACAAGAGGAAACGCUUUCCACACACGCAAGCAGCUGUUGGGAUACAAUCCAGUAUAACAGUGUUUCUUCUGUUCAGUAUAUAUGAACAUACCAUUUCUGAACAACUAAGACAUCACUGUUGAAAAUGACCUAUUAGCUGCCACUAUCUCAUAUGAAUGAUUGUAGAGACAGCAUGCCUGGUGAUUUUAUCUUCUUACGAUAACUCAAAAUAAUUGCAAAUCACACACACACAUAAAAUAUGAAGUAUCCUGUAUUUAUCCAAAUUGAAGAUGACUCCGAGUUUAAGAUGACCCCUUAGAAAGUAGAAGUUAAAUACAGGUUAUACCUGCCUUUACUCAAAAAGAAACAGGACUCUGAAUUUGAGACAACCUCCCAAUUUCUAAUAUAAAAAAACAACUUGUAAAGUCUUGGAUUCAGGUAAAUACAGUAGGCAGAUUUUUGGCACCAAGACUGGCAUACUGCCAAUUUUGUUAGACCACGUAAUAUAAUCUCCACAUCAAGUACGUACCUUUAUCCAGUUUAUACUUCAAGAUGCACAUGUCCAAGCUUGGGCAGCUGCUUAGCCUGAAUAAGUUAUGGUAUACAUGACAUAGGUGGCAAUAUUCAUAGCUAGUGCUUACGCCAAUGGUACUCAUAGUUUGUCACAACAGUCCUCUCUAAGCAUUUAAUGUGUCUCAGCCAGUGCAAGAGGUGGCUUUGAAAUCAAUUAACUGACUGCCAUGACAAAGCAUGGUGCUUCUGAAGAGUUUCUCACUUAUGCUGUACUAGUAGUGGGUACGUUUAAUUUCAACCAUUUCCCCUUUUGCUAGAAACCCUCUGUGUCAUUUGGAAAUCAUGGCUGAGGACCGUGUGAUCCUCAGGGACAUAUUUUCAGUGACACAGAGGACUUCCAGGAGAAGUGGAAGUUGUUGAAAUUUGUCACCCACCGCUAAGCUAGCAGUCUAGCUGAGUCAGAUGAGCUUUUCAGCCUCUACUUGGAUUUAACAGGCUUUGAAAGAGGUAAAGCCUUGGUAAGGAGGCUUGGAAGUCCAACAAACUUGCAUUGAGUUUACAAAGCAGGGAAUUAAUGGAGCUAUUUGUAUGAACAAAAUCAACAUUGCUAGAUUACUGUAUUAGCAGCAACGCAUUAAGAGUAUCAAAGAUUUGAAGGUGCCACAAAACUUAUUUCAAAAUAUUAAAAGACACUUCGUCUGAUGCAUGAAAUGGAUAUGUAAAUAGGCAGGUUUACACCCCAUGAAAAAAAUGAACACAAGAAUGUGAGUUUUUAAACACAAAGCGAGGUAAAAAGGUCAAGCAACAUCAAGGCAGCAGGUGUGUCACAUUACUAUGCCAACCACAAAUGUACAAGAUCCAGUCAGAGGUUGUGUGACAACUCCCAAUUCGCUGUCACUGAUGAACUGGCAAAGCAAGAUGAACAAACUGGAAGGCAGUACCUUUGGACAACUUGGAUGUUAUUUUAGAAAAAAGUUCAUAGAAAAAGUUGUCAGAAUACACAGAGCAAGUUCAGGUAAACAUUUAAAAUUUAUUAAACUUUUUGGUCAAAAUAAUUGAACAAUUAUGUACAAUCCCAUGGUAUUAGCUCUCAUGAAUUUCUUUUUUAAGGAACAAAGUCAAUCUAAUGGUUAAAUGACCUAUGCGUUCCACAUUUCAAGAUUUGCAAAUAGUGUCACAACUGAUAUACAGUAUAUGAUUUUUUAUUUAAACUUUAUAACCCCCAAAUUAGUAUUUAUUAGCUUAUCGCGAACAAGAGUGGCACUCUAUGGACGUUAAUUGACAGGGUAGGAACAGAGGCAUGUUGCUCUUGCAUAUCCAUAUCAGACUUUUCUAAUCAUAUUAAACCUUCAUUUUAUUAAAAAUGGAGUGUGAACUGUACAUCUGUAUUUUAUCCAGGAAGCUCAAAGGGCCUAAUUUCAAGGUGGGGUUUUGUAGGCACAUUUUCUAGCAAGUUUGGAGGUAGUAGUACCUAAAUCCUUGAUGCUAUUAAAAUGUGCCCAUGUCUAUUUGCGUGUACAAGUUUACACCCAGAGAAGUUACAAUGAAACAUUGGAAGUGGAUCAUGUGUUCUUUCGGAGAGAGAGAUUAAAGUGAUACUUUCCCUUAGCCCGCUAUCGCCAGUGGAAACUCAAAAGUCUACAAAUGUAUUUUCACAUCCGUAUUCAGCGCUAAGGCAGCCUGACCACCUGGUGUCGAAGAACCAGAGUAAGAGAUAAAACAUGUUUAAGUUGUGCUCCUGUUUGGCAUAAUCAAGUUUAAAAACAUACAAGCUUGAACUGAAGUGGGGAAUUUUUGUAUGCCUAUGCCCAUGCCCAGUUGAAGUUAUUUAAAUUGUAUACGCUUCAACACAAAGGACUAAAGGUACAAAAGUAAUGCACAUUAAGGCAUGUAUCUCACUUGUGAGGCAUUAACUGUUAACGAGAACAGUAAUUUUGAUGAAGGUAUUGAUAUACGAGACAAUCUUGCUCCUUUAAGGCUGUUUAAGAGCUUUAAAUUAAUCUUUUCAAUUUCCUCUUCUGUGCACACUGUGUGAUGCCUUUAAAAAAAAAACCAAAAAACCAGAAAACCAGUACAAGUUAAGGUAAUGACAACUAGAGGAAAAUUUAAAUUUAGAGUUUGAAGUAGCAGAUAUCACAUGAAACUGCUUAUACUGUCAAAAUCAAUAUUUUGGGGACAAACUAUUUUCAAAUCUUUCCAGAGUUAUUUUGCACAAUCUCAAUACAUGCAAUAAAAAAGACUGAAUACAUACUUUCAGAUUUAAAAACACUUUUUAUAGUUUGUUAUUUUAUUAAGUGGUUUACACCAGAAGGUGUGGUUAUAGAUACAGUUGGUGAGUAAAUAUACAUGAAAAACCUGUCUAUGCACCCAACUCUGGACUUACCUAUAUGCUCAAAGGUGGAAACACCCAAUGUUUAGAUGAAGGCCAGAGAAAGAAUGUUUACAGGCAUAAAGCACAAAUAUAUGUUUUGAAAGGCCCAAAUAUUACAGCAGGUAAAGAGCACGUGAGAUAGAAAUUACAUUUUUUAUGACAAUUUGUUUCUUGGGUGUUAGAUUUUUGGUCUAUCAACUGGAAAGGAAGGCUCAGACUUAAAUAAAUACAUUUGUUUUGAAUAUUGGCCUUUAUUGAGUAUUGUCCAUCAAUUCUGCUUCUAGUGGGCUUUUUUCAUUUACAAAAAUUCAAUUCCAUGUUCCCGCUCACUGAAGGCAGAAAUACACCAUGAACUCAAGUCCAGGCCAGCUUCUCUCCUUUACCUAUAAAGGGAAAUAAGUGCAUCAAUGUUCUUUACUGGGAGGACAACAAGGCCAUCUCUCUGACAGAUAAACAACUGAGCUUAACUAUGCAAGACGACACCUUUGUCCUCGAAUAAGCCGUCUUUAAUUAAUUUUGUCCUGGAAUAUAUACAAGUUAUUGGUGGCAGCUACAGCAAUGAUGUUCUCUGCAGGGUGCCAUGCUGUAUGAAGGAUCUUCUUGUUGAAGUCCAGACUGUCAACACUUAUUUCAUCUUUCUUUCUCUUGCCGCCCGUACACACUUUCCGGGGCUUUAAGAUGGCACGGGGUUUGCUACUCUCUCUUGAUGCUUCUAGUGUAAUAUCUCGCCGUGUGUUUCGAUCAAACAUCCUAAAGAAGUUGUUGUAUGAGCCAGUCAUAAUAGCGCUACAUUUUUAAAAAGAAAGAGAAGAGAGGCAACCUUUUACUUAUACUUUAGGUCUACCAGGCAAUUUCAUGUCACUCCACACAGCUCUGUCCUAUUUUUCCAUUCACACCCACAUAUAGAAUCACAUCCUAUACACCUAACCGCUUUAUCAUGAGCCGUUGUACAAAUCCAUUCUCUCUUUCAGAUAAGUCAUUUUGGAGUCCAUUAACUACUGUUCUGCUACUUUCAUACAAAUGUUUAUAGAUGUUUAAACAUGUUUGUGAAUCACCUAGAUUAUUGUACUUUAGAAUGCUAUUAAUUACUUGGGGGAAUCAGUUUCUCAGUACCUGGCUUGCUUCAUCCUGCUUGCUAGGCAUAAUAAGGAGCUGCUUAUGUUAUAUGAGUGGUUUAUCUAGAUCAAUACUUUGCAUAGUACUGGUUUUCCAGGAUCUCAAGCAAAGGUUCCUUCCCAACAACCUGAGUUGCUUUAAACCAGCAAGUAGACAGAAUUGAGAUUUUAUGCACUGUGGCAUCUAGGCUAUAUUGCACCAUACCAUACAUUAGAAGUUGUUUCAAACAGCUGUCCAUCUUUAAGUCUCUAUUCAAUUCAUAGUGUAUCACUUAUUCAAUCAGCAACCAAGUUCCAUGCUUUAACGGGGAGACACCAGGGACUGAACAUGGAACCUUUUACAUGCAAAGCACAUAUUCAUCACAUUGAGAUAUGACUCUUCAUAUGGCAGCAUAUGCUAUUGUUCCAUUGUUGGGAGCUGAACAGGACUAGAAUCUCCAUUUUUCUUUUAGAUAACUAACACCUUCUGAAUUAACUCAUAACAUAUAUCAAUGUGGACCACAUAUUUGGGAUCAGAGUUCGCUCAUCUCUCUGCUUAAACUAAACACCACAACCAUUUUCAAAUUUAAAAUGGUUAAAUUUGGACAAACCUUUAAAAUGAGCUUUAUUACAUAAAUCAGCCUUACCUAUCAGAACCAUUCCAGCAGCAUUCAAACUUGUCAAAGAUGCAGUCAUUUUCAUACAAUGAGCAAAGCUUGCUUCGAAGAUAUUCAUGAACCUUAAAACAUAUAGGCAUUGAAAAGAAUGAGAACAUCUGCCAUUUUAAAAAAGCUUAUUUAUUAUAAAGCAUGAAGACUAUACCUGAUAUGUCUCUACAGGCCUGCUUUCCAUAUUGAGAUCCCAUACUUUAACCGAAAGGUAGUCUCUGGUCAUCAUGUAUCUACCGCUGUGACUGAAUUUCACAUCUGAUAUCGAGGAAAUAAUUUCUGAAAAGAAUGACCUGCUGCUGGGAUCUUCAGGCUCCUCGAAGACUGGAAAUAUUUAAAAAGAUACAAAGGAAGGAAAGCUGUUAACAACUACAAAGGCUAACCCUUUGAUGUAAAGCUUUGCUAGACUAUUGAUUUCCAAACUGUGUGCCAUGAAAAUGGCUAAAGUGUGCCUUGCAAAGGAAUACCAUGUCUAUGUUAUGCUUGUCAGAAUGGGGAGACCCCAUACAGAACCAAUUCCAUUGCCCAAAUGGCCAAUGUAUGGGCAGUGACAUCACCCUCAAGGAUGAGAGUAAGGACACACCAAGAUUCUGUGAAGCAGCCCAUUGUACAACUUAUGUGUUAACUCAGAAGCUCUGAAAUAUAACGAUUUCCCAGAAAGCACAGUCCAGUCCCUGACUGACUUCGAAAAGGGGAGGGGUGGCAAUAUUAAUUAGCCUAAUCCCACAGUAGCAAGAUGGAUGCCUGUCAAUUGUUCUGGAAAGCAGCAAGGAAAAUUCCUAUUUGAGUGUACAGUGAAGUGUCUCCCCAAUUAUGGACUAGAAUGGUAAGACCCACAUGCCCAAGAAGAAAGCAUAUGCAUGUGCUAGCAUGAAUGCAUCAUUUUUCUUCUUCCAGCCGUACUCCCUUCUGCCACGUCAAACCUCUCUCUGGAAGAACUCUGAAUUUCAUGAGAACCUUUUCAAAGAAAGUGAGGGACUGCAGUAGGAAUUGGCUUCAAGAAAAGCUCUGGUGGAUGUGCAGUUUUCUGUGUACAGCUCCUUGGAUCCCAGCCUUAAUUCAGAUGUUGGGAGGGGGAAAUAGCACCUCAGGUAUCAAAAUAUGGAAGACACUGAUCUAAACACAUGAAUUAUCCACUUUUUGUCUAGAGGCACACACCACGGAACCUCUAAUUUUACCCGUGCUAUCCAAACAUGGAAUGAUAACUGAGUGACUCUAAACAAAUGGCUUGCAUAAAGCAGAACUCACUUUGUCAGAAAUAAGCAACAGAAAGAUGCUACUUGACUGUAUAUAUCAAUAUAUACAUACCAUAGCAACACCACUUAUAAAUGCACUAAUUCACAUAACAAAACCAUUUCAUAUUGCUAAGCUCCAGUAUCAUUUCUAUUAGUGCAAUCAAUGAAUGACAGGAAAUAACCAUUUUUUUACUUGGCCCUAUCAUCUACUCAAUUUUUUUUUUAACCACAAAUCAUGUUAAGGAUUGUUUAUUGUGAAACUACAAGUCUCCAACUUUAUUAAAUAUACUAAGAUUCUAAAUAAGAAUUCUCAAUGCUGGGAGAUACUAUAGAGUAAUAAUUUAUUUAUGACAGUCUACAAUGAACCACAAGAGAGUAUGAUCAAAACUUUAGGUUUGCGCAUUUUAAUUAUGAACGCAGUCAUUACAGAUAUGCAUAAACAGAAUUAUCUAAUUAAAAGAAAGAAGCUUCAAAUGUUUUGAUUACAUCCAGCAAAGGUAGGUAAACAGAAAAGAACUUUUAUGUCAUAUCAAUAGUUUGACCAUUUUAUGUCAAACUAGCCCACUAUAUUUGAAGUAGCUGUCUCAUUUUCACUGUGUCCAACUGUAUUAUGCUUAGAGAUGUUAACGUGAUUCCUUAAAAAUUAUGGCGUUUUGCCUUGGAAACUAGCUUCAAAUGGCCACAAAUGAAAUGGAUCCUAUCAAUCUCAGCCCAGUUGCUAAACCACAAACAUCUACUGCAUGUUCACACAUAUUUAAAAAUAUUAUUUUCUUGCAAGCAGAAGGGUGUGUGUGUGUGUGUGGGGACACAAAUUGCACCGCCACCCCAUUUCUCCUCCUGCAUCCCCUGCCAUCCCAUUCUUCUCCCCCCGCACCCACAGCCACCCCCAUUUCUCUCUCUGCUGCCCACACCACCAGGGCAGCAUUCCUCAUUCAGGUUUUCACUGGUCACUUUCCCUGGGAAGGAAAGCCCGGCAUCCCCUUGCUCCUACAUGCCUGCCUAGAAUCUCUGCAGCAGAAGAUGGUGCAGGGAGCAGCUGCGUGUGGGCUUUCCAUUUAACUUUUAAAAAUGACACUAUCAAUUGCAGGCUCUAGGCAGGUGUGGGCUCUUCUCGUGGGUGGGUUAUAUGUAAAAUAAAAACAAAAUAGUCUUGGCAUUAUUAAAACAGUUAUCUUUGAAAAACACCAAGACCAAGUCUGUACAGAAGACAGAAUCUUCAAAGCCCUAUUCAGACAUUGCACUGUACAUGUGUACAGGUGUCUGUAAUAUUGUUGUAACAACAACAUAUGUGUGUGUUAAUGACUGUACAUCAGGGCUGCUCAACUUCAGCCCUUCUGCAGAUGUUGGCCUGCAACUCCCAUAACCCCUGGCUAUUGGCCAAUGUGGCUGGGGAUUAUGAGAAUUGUAGUCCAAAAACAGCUGGGGGGGCCUAAGUUGAGCAGGCCCGCUGUACGUGCACUCAUUUUAAAACUGAAGCUGGGUAGAGGCUUCCUCAAAUGCAGGGUGCAGUUAGGAAAAGUAUUAUUCUACAUGCUUUGAACAUACUGUGUGAAUAACUGUAUGUGCAUAGAGAUUUGAACACAGCGUCCACUUGUUGGAUAUGCUGUUGCCAUACUUAGAAUAGGACACAAUAUGGUAUGAGAUUUAACACCAUUCUGUAUUAUGCACACAAUUCUGCUGUCUUACCACCUUUAUACUCAGUAUCAUGUUGAUACCAGUGUUGACUAAUUUUUAUAUAUAAUUUUAUGUUUAUAGUCUUCAUUUUUAGCUUCUUCCACUCACUAUACUAUGUUUUAGGUAAUUUUAUAGAGAUCCCCUAUUACCUUGUAGGAAUAGAUUGUCUUGACUGUUUUUUGUUUUGUUUUUUUUACUUUGGUGUUAUGCUGGUCAAAGACCAAAAUAAAGAUUUGACUUGAUUUGAAUAUGCA